rnacentral:lncRNA from 1 species
GGCACACAGAAACCAGAUGCACUGUGGGACCCUGAGGGGUCUGGGGUGCUGAAAGUAGGCAGAAGUGGGCUGUGACAGGAGAUACUUGGAGAUGCCUGUGCUGUGGCUGCUGUUUCUGCUGCCGCUCCUGCCCCUGCUGGCCAUGCUCUGCCAGCAGAGAUCUCCGGGUGCCAGACCAUGCUGGCUGAUCAGUCUCCAGCACCGGGUGGCUUGCGUGGUGCUGAGCUGGGCAGCCGCCUGGCAGCGGCGGAAACUAGAACAGAGCACACUGAACGUGAGCCAGAGCCAGCAGCAGGCCCUCAUGGGGUGUCUGAAGGAAGCCCAGGGUUCCUGCUGUCUCCCCAGGGAGAACACAGACAUGACCACCUUCCGGAAUCUUCCACUGACAAAAACCAGCCACACCCAGCAGAAAGAAAGUGAA